CUGACCAGACAGUAUUGACUUGUGUUUGAGAAGCAUUCAUAAUAAAUGUCUGUUUGUGAUCUAAUUUUGUUCAUCCCUGUGUGUUCUCAGGGGACAUGUAUAAUUUCAUGACACUAUGAUUUUGCAAGAUGGAUUUAGAAAGAAGGGAACUUUAUAUGUUAAUCUGUGUCCAAUUAGCCAUGUUGGAUUUAGACUAACAAGAACUUUAUAUGUUUAUAUGUGUGUCCAAUUAGCCAUGUUGGAUUUAGACUAACAAGAACUUUAUAUGUUUAUAUGUGUGUCCAAUUAGCCAUGUUGGAUUUAGACUAACAAGAACUUUAUGUUAAUGUAUGUCCAAUUAGCCAUGUUGGUUUUAGACUAACAAGAACUUUAUAUGUUAAUCUGUGUCCAAUUAGCCAUGUUGGAUAUAGACUAACAAGAACUUUAUAUGUUUAUAUGUGUGUCCAAUUAGCCAUGUUGCAUUUAGACUAACAAGAACUUUAUGUUAAUGUAUGUCCAAUUAGCCAUGUUGAUUUUAGACUAACAAGAACUUUAUGUUAAUGUAUGUCCAAUUAGCCAUGUUGGAUUUAGACUAACAAGAACUUUAUAUGUCUAUGUGUGUCCAAUUAGCCAUGAUUCUGUGGAAGAUUAGAUUCUUUUGUGUUAAUUACUUAUGAAAAGAUGUGUUGAAAAUUAAGGAGUGUCUAUCAAACAUUUUAUAUCUGGUAAGUUGUUAGAUCUCCGUGUUUCACAAAAAUGCUACAGUUCUUUGAAACGAUUCUAUCUGUCAGGUUUCUUUGUGGACGCAUACUAUUGCAGGGACACUGGCAGUCAGUGAGAAGCACCCAUUUUGCUGAAAUGCAUCAAAAAACGCACAGAAAUUAUUAGAGGAUUUCUACUUUUCGGUAUUUGAUCCUGUUCACCAUUUCACUUUGGAGACAAUCUUCUGGGAAAUACCUCGGCUUUCCAAUGUUACAGAUGAAGAGUGGAUAAGACCUGAAGACUUUUCACAGACUUUUGGUUCAUUUUUCCCCAAAUUUGGAGGAAUUCCUAAUAUUCCCAUAUACAAUGAUGACCAAAGACUGCACAAUGCCCAACCUAGUAGCUGGGUUUUAAGAGCUGG